GCUAACAGCAUAUGUCGAGAAAAUGUAUGGAAUUAUUCGUGAUAACUUGAAGAAAGAGUUAGGGUCACUUCUUUCCUUGUGUAUCCAGGCACCGAGGACCUCCAAAGGAAGUGUGCUAAAGUCUGGUCGAUCCUUUGGCAAAGAUUAUUCAAUAAAUCACUGGCGAGGAAUAAUUGAAUGCCUUGAUUCUCUUCUCUGUACUUUGAAAGAAAACUUUAUGCCUCCAAUUCUUGUUCAGAAGAUAUUUAGUCAAGCCUUUGCAUACAUGAAUGUACAGCUCUUCAACAGUUUUCUUCUUCGCCGGGAGUGUUGUACAUUCAGUAAUGCAGAAUAUGUUAAAUCUGGCUUGGCUGAGCUAGAGCUGUGGUGCUCCCAAGCAAAGGAAGAGUAUGCUGGCUCAUCCUGGGAUGAACUCAAACAUAUACGACAAGUUGUUGGAUUCUUG
rnacentral:misc_RNA from 1 species